CGUAAUUUUUGACCGAACUUAAGUUUAACACCAUUUUUAGAGCUUAAAUAUUUUAUUAAUCUAAAUUAAAUAUUUUGACUUUUAUCUUAUUUUAUUAAGUUUAUUUUAAAGAUUUGAAAACAACAAAAAUAGAAUUACUUUAUAAGGUAAGUUUUAUUUUUCACUUGUUUAAAAAAAGAAAUGAAAACUUACAAAAAAUAUGUAUUCUUUUAAUUUAGAUUUUACUAAAUAAGCCAAUGUUUUUUAAUUAUAUUUUUAGAUUGGCUAUUUAACUUUUUAGUUCAAACUAAUUAAUUUAAAUUUUUAUAUAUAUUUAAUUUAUAAAAUAAAUAAAAAAAGCCUAAACUACCCAUUACCCCCAAAACCUCUACCCAUUUCACUCACUCUCACCCCACAAUCCCACAUUAAUCCAUCACUCCCCUCAACCACACACACGUACCACACACUACUACUAGACAUCAGCAACACACCCCUUCCACAGAUAUACAUACACGGACACAAAAAAGAAAAAAAGGAGGAGGAGCAAACAAGACACAAUCAGAAAAAGAACACAGAAUCAGAAAAGAACAC
rnacentral:lncRNA from 1 species